rnacentral:rRNA from 1 species
AUGGCUGAAUGCUUCAAUAGGGUGCUCAAAGGUGCAUGUGGAUUACCCGUGACGGCAAUAGUUCAAUACACAUUUGACAAGAUGAAUGCGUACUUUCCAAAAUACUCGAUGGAAACUGAUGCACAGAUAGCGGGUGAGAACCCGCGCAAGUACAAGUACAAGUUCCCACCCAAGGUUGAUGAAUGGUUAGAAUUUCAAUCAUGAAAGGCGGACUCAGAAGAAGCUAUAUUAUAUGACAACGAAGAGUGGAAGUAUGAAGUGAAAGAGCCAGGAGGAACCACAAACGAUGGCCGGCAACAUGGAGGUUGGGCUUUCAAGGUGUCUUUAAUACAAUGUGAUUGCUCUUGCGGGAGGCCAUUGUUGCUUCGUCUCCCAUGCUCACAUUUGUAUACCGCUGGUCGCGUUAGAAAUGUGGACAUCAAUCACCCAUGCACCGUGAGGGAGUUGGAGUUCUCAAUCAUGACGGUCAAGAAAACAUGGGCUCCCCGCUUUCACCCAUACUUUAAACAAUCACAACGGCCGGAGUACCAUGGAGUUCAACUAUGGCCGGAUCCG